AGUGAACGCUGGCGGCAGGCCUAACACAUGCAAGUCGAGCGGAUGAAGGGAGCCUGCUCCUGGAUUCAGCGGCGGACGGGUGAGUAAUGCCUAGGAAUCUGCCUGGUAGUGGGGGAUAACGUCCGGAAACGGGCGCUAAUACCGCAUACGUCCUGAGGGAGAAAGUGGGGGAUCUUCGGACCUCACGCUAUCAGAUGAGCCUAGGUCGGAUUAGCUAGUUGGUGGGGUAAAGGCCUACCAAGGCGACGAUCCGUAACUGGUCUGAGAGGAUGAUCAGUCACACUGGAACUGAGACACGGUCCAGACUCCUACGGGAGGCAGCAGUGGGGAAUAUUGGACAAUGGGCGAAAGCCUGAUCCAGCCAUGCCGCGUGUGUGAAGAAGGUCUUCGGAUUGUAAAGCACUUUAAGUUGGGAGGAAGGGCAGUAAGUUAAUACCUUGCUGUUUUGACGUUACCAACAGAAUAAGCACCGGCUAACUUCGUG
rnacentral:rRNA from 1 species